rnacentral:rRNA from 136 species
UUAAAUUGAAGAGUUUGAUCAUGGCUCAGAUUGAACGCUGGCGGCAGGCCUAACACAUGCAAGUCGAACGGUAACAGGAAGCAG